ACCUGGCUGGCUCAGCAGGUGGAGCAUGUGACUCUUGAUCUCAAGGUUAUAAAUUUGAGCCCCAUGCUGGGUG
rnacentral:tRNA from 1 species